GGGUUUCUUAAAUUUAGAAGAGGUGAAAAAUGCUUGCAACACCUUAGAGAACAUGAUAAAGGUCUUCACGAAUCUUACAGGAGGCUGAUGAAUCUUGUAAUGCAAUUUGGGAGCGUGACAAGGUCCUCCAUUGACCUUUGGAAGCCAAAGGAUUUUAUAUCACCUUAGGAAGUACCACAAGGGUCUUCAAUAAGUUUUGAAAGUUAGGAAUGGUGUGAUCUUUGGGAUAAAAGGGAAAAAAACAAAAAUUUGUGGGAUAUUUCCGUGAUGAUUUCACUGAAACAAGCAUGUCAUUUUAUAGGCUUCAGCUAUACAAUUGAAUUUUAGUCCUAUAUAACCUCUAAUUCUAUAACAACCGAUAGUGAUGGUCAUAUGUAUGUAUAAUGAUUAUAUAUAUGAUGGUUAUCUACAAUGGUUAUCUAUGAACAAGUAUAAAUAGGAUGAUGCUUAUCUCUAUCCUACUUUAUGUUUCAAAUUUCCUUCUCCGGGUUAAAAUGUAUGUAGUCAUACUUUGUUGAGAAGGGAUUGCAACUACUUGACGAUUAUUGAGCGUGGUUUUAAAUAAUAGCAGUUAUGUUAUGUUACGUAAUAGCUAUUAUUUUUAAGUUUAUGGAGGUGUAGUUAGCGAUACUCCAUUUAAAUAAUGGCAAAAAGAAUUGUAAUGGGUAAUGGCCAUAACAGCUAUCAUGUAACGGUAACUGUUGUGGCUUAGCAGUUAACGACUUUUACCCACAUGGGCAAAUAG
rnacentral:misc_RNA from 1 species